rnacentral:lncRNA from 1 species
AAAAAGAACAACUGGCUUAAUUAUCUCGCUGAGAUGAGCACUACAGUAGUACUCCAAAUUUGUUAGAGAGAGAUAUUUUCCAUUUCCAGCGCCAGUGAAAUGCGAAAAUUGUCCAAGGUUUCCAAGCUUCCCCUUCUUCAGGUAAUUGAAAAAUCUCCUCUUUGAUUUCUUUUUCCUUUUCCUGAUGGGACGCUGUAUCUAAUUGCAUAUUAACUAUUUGAUGAAAGGAGUCACAGAAUUUACUAUUUAGUC